rnacentral:rRNA from 1 species
UACGUAGGGGGCAAGCGUUGUCCGGAUUUAUUGGGCGUAAAGAGCGUGUAGGCGGUUUGGUAGGUCCGCUGUGAAAACUCGAGGCUCAACCUCGAGACGCCGGUGGAAACCAUCAGGCUAGAGUCCGGAAGAGGAGAGUGGAAUUCCUGGUGUAGCGGUGAAAUGCGCAGAUAUCAGGAAGAACACCCGUGGCGAAAGCGGCUCUCUGGGACGGUACUGACGCUGAGACGCGAAAGCGUGGGGAGCAAACAGG